UUUCCAUAAAAACUGAUUUAACAGAAUAUAGAAAAUGCUGGCUUUCCUUACCCUGUUGAACCAACGUGCUCCCAACCUCUUGGUACUGACAGCACCUUUUCUCCUGGAACAUGGUCUCAGCUAAAGACGGUGGAGAGAAAUACAGAUAUCAUUGACUUUCUGUAUCUGCUUGUUUCCCAGUGAAUUCAGGGGAGUCAAGGACAUGCUCAGCACCUCAAGGACUGAUCUCGAAGAGAGCAAUCAAGCAGGCAUUGUGUGCGUCAGUGGGUGAAGAACUUGGGAACUGAUUUCUGCCAACAACAGACUGAGAGGGCAUGCUUUUCAAUGGAAAAUGUACAGUACGGUCAAAGAGCUGAAGAGCCUAUAGAGAGCUCCAUUUGCAAAUUCUUCGUUGAAGAAAUAGAUGCGUUCUCAGCUGAAGGAUGGAUUGUUGGGCAAGAAAACAGCAAUCUCUCCAGCUUGCAGAAUGCUUCUCCAGGUCCUCAUUCUGAAGUGUAAGUUUGCUCCACUUUAUUUCCUAUG